CUUCUACGUUUCUUCUUACUGUUUUUCCCUACCUCUUUCAUUUUCCUUUUAUUUUUUCCUCUAUUGUUUUUCCCUAACCCUCAUCUUCUCCUUUUUAUCUCCCAAGCCAGCCUUGUUCUUUGUACGCCAUGGCCAAGCCUCUCUUUCUUCCAAUCACGCCCAUUCUUCUCCAUGCUUGUCUUUGUUGAUCUCAUGGACUUAGAUUUGUGUAUAUGUACCAGCAAUACAUGAGAAGAAGACGUAGAAAAUGGCACCAUUGUGGCUUUGCUGGCGGCAUUCAAGCACUUCGGGCACAUGUUGCUGAACUGCUUAUAUUGCCAAAGUGGAAUUUAAAACGGAAGGAUUUCGAAAGACAGAUGUGUUUGAUUCUGGUAUUGGCCCCCAUGACGAGAAUGACACAUAUGUGUUUUAUGAGAACAUUCUGUACAGUAUAACUAGUAAUGAUGCUAGUAGGGAAAACCUUCGUUGGGGUCGAGAUGAUGUGAAGGGAAUGAUAAUUGGUGUCUCUAUCAUUAGCGAAAGAGAUCUUCAUGAAAUGGACAACUUAGAUGAUUGUGAGUUCAUUGAUGAUGAGUUUAACGAUAAAGAUGACAACGAAAUCGAGUACAGCGAUGAUGAGUAGUGUAAUAGGGUACUGUUGUUGCAUGUGUAAUUAUGUUAUAGUUAUUAUUGAAAUUGUGUUGGAUGCAAGUAUGGGGAGGAGGAAAUGACAAUUGCUGCUUGUUUACGUUGGCGAAGGAUCGUCACAUUUUUGACAAAGGGUGGAGGCACAAGAUGAGGAAGCCCAUAUUUCUAAGGAUGUAGGACCGGUUGCAAGUGAAGAUGAAACACAGCCCCAGACGAUAUCAACAAACCCCAGCAGUGGAAAAUAGGCUUAAAAGACGUGGUCCUACAAGGCUAGCUGACAUAUGGGCAUUGGAUGGUGAGUACAAAAUCCCGUUGCCGUUAAAUGAUCAAGGCCAACUGAUUGGUCUGGACAGUGGCACGUUCGUUCGGUGGUUGGGAACUUUUUGUGAGAAUAGCUUAUUAUGCUUGCUGGGUGGCCAAGCGUCCCUGAAAAAUUUAAACAAGAUUGUUGGAUUGAGAUUGAGAAACGGUGUCUAAUUAACCCCAAUAUUGUCGCACCACCCGAUCAAAUGGAAUGGGCAAUGCAUCAACUUGGGGUCAUGAGGAGAAAUUAGAGGACAAAGUUGAAGAAGGAUCACUAUAAACGCGGGAUGACAAAGGAACAAGUAUUGGCCAACAAACUGUCGAUGGUUGACAAAGUGCAGUGGACGGAGAUGGUUAACUAUUGGUUUUUGGACAAAACUGUGACAUUAAGUAACAAGAACAAGGUGAGUCGAGGUAAACAGAAGGAGAUAGCAAGGUUUGGGCCCAAAAGUUUUACACAAAUUUCUGCUGACAUGGCGAAGGCUAACGGGGCUCCGGUCAAGCGUGCAGAUAUGUAUCUAAAAGUAUACUCUAGGAAAGAUGGGGCUGCUAUUACUCCCCAUGCGCAAGAGAACAUGAAUAGGAUGGAAGAAUUUUUGACUUAAGAGGGCAUGCAACUACAAGGAGAGCUUGGUAGUGGAGUCCUCUGGUCCAAAGAUGAUGCGUAUGCUUAGGUGUUUAGUCUAAAGUGCCCUGGACGUGUACGUGGGGUAGGAUAUGGAAUCACUCCAUCUAGAGGAAGUGCCACAAACCUUUCACAGUUUACCCCGACUCCAUCGUCGUCAAGCAGAAUGACCCAAAGGAUUUCGGAGUUGCAGACUUCCCUUAGGGAGCAACUAGCCCAAGUACAAGAACAACUCUCCCAAUUAGAAGCAAGGCAUCAAGAACAACUCACCCAAGUAGAAGCAAGGCACCAACAGAAAAUGGCCAAAGUGAUGACUAGCAUGAGAGAAAUGUUCGCCCAACUUAGCCCUUGUAUGCGUGAUUUGGAUACGACUCAGGGUGGCAAUGCUUGAUGUGGACUCUCCAUGGGAAUGAAACUAUGAAUCCUCAGGUAAAACAAAUACGACUAUUUGUUAUAACAUAUACAACUAUAUUAGGAAAAAAAUAAAAAUAAAAAUAAGAUAUAUUCCUGUCUUUAUUGGUUUUAUUGCAAUUUGAAGGUCCCACAUCAGUAUAUAUGAAGCAAGAAGUAGGGAAGGAGAUGUACUAUAAGACAUAAAAUCAAAUUAGAAAAUUUCAACCAUGAAUGUAGACUGGAAAGUAUCCUUGUUCCAAAAACCUUUCAAGCGAACAUUUUUAUACAUGCCGUUUUACACUUGCUAAAUGUAGCAGAUAGUUCCACGAUGCAUGAGUGUUUUCAAGUGUUUGCACUGUUUUCAAGUGUUCCAAGUUUAGGGAUUUUUGUGAGCCCAAUUCAACCUAAUUUUCGGUGUUCUCAAUGUCACAGGUAAUUGGCUGUAGCUACGGGCAUUGGACUGACUAAUCAAGUACCAUGAUGCUUUCUAGAAACUGGCUGAUCAAGUACCUUGAUGCUAGCUGACAAUUUUUUGUGAUGUAAAAAUCCUUGAGGGAUAUGCAUUUUGUGCUGUAAAAAUAUUUUGUUAGGAACUUGUUUUGUUUAUGUAAUUAUUUGUUUAUGUAAAUUAUUUGGGCAAUGCAAUCUUUUGGCAAUGAA